rnacentral:rRNA from 1 species
GUCGAACGGCAGCACAGGUAGCAAUACUGGGUGGCGAGUGGCGCACGGGUGCGUAACGCGUAUGCAAUCUGCCUCUAACAGGGGGAUAGCCCGAAGAAAUUCGGAUUAAUACCCCAUAAUAUAUUUAUCUCGCAUGAGAUUGGAUAUUAAAGUAACAACGGUUAGAGAUGAGCAUGCGUGACAUUAGCUAGUUGGUAAGGUAACGGCUUACCAAGGCAACGAUGUCUAGGGGGUCUGAGAGGAUUAUCCCCCACACUGGUACUGAGACACGGACCAGACUCCUACGGGAGGCAGCAGUGAGGAAUAUUGGUCAAUGGACGCAAGUCUGAACCAGCCAUGCCGCGUGCAGGAAGACGGCCCCACGGGUUGUAAACUGCUUUUAUAUAGGAAUAAACCCAUCUACGUGUAGAUGGCUGAAGGUACUAUAUGAAUAAGCACCGGCUAACUCCGUGCCAGCAGCCGCGGUAAU